UUUGUAAAGACAAGGUCGCACCUCGCUCUUGCACCUUGCCACCUUUUGAGAAGUUUGAUACCUGGCUCAGAACGAACGCUGGCGGCAGGCUUAACACAUGCAAGUCGAACGCCCCGCAAGGGGAGUGGCAGACGGGUGAGUAACGCGUGGGAACAUACCCUUUCCUGCGGAAUAGCUCCGGGAAACUGGAAUUAAUACCGCAUACGCCCUACGGGGGAAAGAUUUAUCGGGGAAGGAUUGGCCCGCGUUGGAUUAGCUAGUUGGUGGGGUAAAGGCCUACCAAGGCGCACGAUCCAUAGCUGGUCUGAGAGGAUGAUCAGCCACAUUGGGACUGAGACACGGCCCAAACUCCUACGGGAGGCAGCAGUGGGGAAUAUUGGACAAUGGGCGCAAGCCUGAUCCAGCCAUGCCGCGUGAGUGAUGAAGGCCUUAAAUUGUAAAGCUCUUCACC
rnacentral:rRNA from 1 species